CGCCUCUCAGAAUCACACCUGGAGAGUUUUCAGUACUCCACCAGUCUUGGGUACGGGAGGGAGAGUCAAGCAGAGGCCUAUUCAUUCCAUUCCUAGCUUGGACAGUGACUAGUGAGUGGAAGGCAAUUUGCUACAAGU
rnacentral:snoRNA from 1 species